AGGACAAAAUCACCAACAUCUUCAAUGGGAGAAAACCCUUUAUCGGCUGAUUCAUUUCCUUGUUUUGUUUCUGCAGGAGACGGGAUAUCCUAGAGGAUUUAAGAAUCUCGACAGAAAUCUCAGCAACAUCAGCAACAGAGUAAGGGUGCUUGAUAGCAAGAUAGCAAAAGAAAUAGUGGGUGUCUGCUCAGCACCAUGACGCUCCUAACCCCACUGGAGUGGCUUUAAAGAAAAGCUUUCAUUAACAUACUUACACAUCAGUUGACAUGUUUCUGGUGGCACAAUCAGGAUUCAAGGCAGAGCACUUAAUGCCAAAGGGUAUUUCAUUGACACUCUCACCACCAGAAUCUUCAAGGACGUCACCCCAGGCACAACAAUACUGAAGGCAAAUGAACGUUUAGAGUGUUCUGAUAAAGAACGAUGGGGUUUUUUGUU
rnacentral:lncRNA from 1 species